UUGCUAUGAGGAUACUAAUUUUUCUGAUACCCCUGAUGUCUGAAAUACGCUAUUCUGAGCUAUUA